AGCUGUUUGACUGACAGGAAAGUAGAUGCUUUGAAAGCACCUUAUAGAAGUUCGAAUCUUCUAACAGUUU
rnacentral:tRNA from 1 species